rnacentral:rRNA from 1 species
AUUGAACGCUGGCGGCAGGCCUAACACAUGCAAGUCGAACGAGUGGCGGACGGGUGAGUAAUGUCUGGGAAACUGUCUGAUGGAGGGGGAUAACUCCUGGAAACGGUAGCUAAUACCGCAUACCAUCGGAUGUGCCCAGGUGGGAUUAGCUAGUAGUUGGGGUAAAUGCGCACCUAGGCGACGAUCCCUCGGUGGUCUGAGAGGAUGACGCGCCACACUGGAACUGAGACAAGGGCCAAACUCCUAAGGGAGUCAGCAGUGGGGAAUAUUUCGCAAUGGGCGCAAGCCUAAUGCAGCCAUGCGGCGUGUAUGAAGAAGGCCUACGGGUUGUAGAGUACUUGCAGCUGGGAGGCGUUACCCGAAGAAGAAGCACCGGCUAACUCCGUGCCAGCAGCCGCGGUAAUUC